GGUGUUUUAUAUAUAUGAUUGAAAAAUUUGAAUCUCGGUAAAAUAAAAAUUUCUAUAUUAAUUUUAGUUUUCUCGUUCAUUAACACUUUAAUUUUUUGCUUAAUAAUUUUUGUUAAGUUUGAAAUUUCUACACUUGUUCUGAAACGCAUUGUCCCCCAUUUUUUCUAAAAAGCAUUUUUUCCAAAAAAACAUUUUUACAAAUCAAAUUUUUUCCGAAUCAAAAUUUAAUUAAUAUAUUUUUCGGCUUCUAAUUUGUUAACAGCUCCUUUACUUUUAUUUACUUUUUGCAAUUUUAACCACAUAAGUUGUUUUUGUCCUUUUCUUAUUCUUUGAAAGCUUGCUGAAACAAAAAGAAUGAAAUUUAUAUCAGCUCCAUUUGAAACUUGUGCCUGCGAAAUGCUAGCUCUAAUUUAACGACGUCGUGCCUCAAGAUGGCUUUAUGAUAAAUCGAAACAUUUGUAGCACCGAAUUCAAUCAAUAACUUUUAAUAUUUCUUCAUCAUAACCAUCUUGACUAUAUGAUGAACUUGAAGAAAUCACUAUUACUGCUAUUACUUACCUAAUCCAUUCAUCAGAAACAUCUAUUAAAAACUUCCUGUACUCGUAAUGCUACAUGAGCGGGAAUUCCAUCAUAUUUAAAUAUAUUGUUGUACAUAAUAAGUCAUCUUAGAACUACAGCCGUUGAAGAGCCUGUAGACAGUAUGGAUAUAAGUAGUACCUUUGAAGACAGGACUGGAUGUGACGUCUAUUACUUAACAACAACAGUGUAGAAGUCGAUGUUCAAACUACGGUGUUUAUGACUUUUUUAUGAUCUGCAUGAAUCGUUCUCUAUACAUAUAAACGCUCCUCAUACAAACCUUUUGAAAGUUUCAAUAGUUAACAAAUUAUGUUAGUUAAUAAGUAAGUUAAUAAAUUAUGCGAAUCAAAUACAUAACUUCAAACUGA